rnacentral:rRNA from 1 species
UACGUAGGGUCCGAGCGUUGUCCGGAAUUAUUGGGCGUAAAGGGCUCGUAGGCGGUUUGUCGCGUCGGGAGUGAAAACACGGGGCUUAACCCCGUGCCUGCUUCCGAUACGGGCAGACUAGAGGUAUGCAGGGGAGAACGGAAUUCCUGGUGUAGCGGUGAAAUGCGCAGAUAUCAGGAGGAACACCGGUGGCGAAGGCGGUUCUCUGGGCCGGUACUGACGCUGAGGAGCGAAAGCGUGGGGAGCAAACAGG